AGAGUUUGAUCCUGGCUCAGAACGAACGUUGGCGGCGUGGAUUAGGCAUGCAAGUCGAGCGAGAUUAACCUGUAUCAAUUCUUCGGAAAAGAAACUGGUUAUGACAGCGGCGAACGGGUGAGUAAUAUAUGGGUAAUUUGCCUCUUUGUUCGGAAUAGCCAUCGGAAACGAUGGGUAAUGCCGAAUGUGAUCGACCUCCGCAUGGAGGUCUGUUUGAAGGCGGGGAAUCUUCGGAUCCUGUCGCAAAGAGAUAGGCCCAUAUCCUAUCAGCUAGUUGGUGAGGUAAUGGCUCACCAAGGCUUACGGGUAGCCGGCCUGAGAGGGUGAUCGGCCACACUGGGACUGAGACACUGCCCAGACUCCUACGGGAGGCUGCAGUCGAGAAUCAUUCACAAUGCACGAAAGUGUGAUGAUGCGACGCCGCGUGGAGGAAGACGGCCUUCGGGUUGUAAACUCCUGUCAGCAGGGAAGAAGGGUAGCUCUAUUAAUACUAGGGUUAUUUGACGGUACCUGCAGAGGAAGUCACGGCUAACUCUGUGCCAGCAGCCGCGGUAAUACAGAGGUGGCAAACGUUGUUCGGAUUUACUGGGCGUAAAGGGUCCGCAGGCGGUUCGAUGUGUCAGAUGUGAAAGCCCACAGCUUAA
rnacentral:rRNA from 1 species